AACCAUAGAAACCUGCGGAGUACCUGCGGAAGGAUCAUUAUUGAAUUUAAACAAAGGGUAUUUAGGUUGUAGCUGGCUCCAUUAGUUUGGAGCAUGUGCACACCUUUUGCUCUUUUUUUAAUCCACACACACCUGUGAACCUGUGAGGCAGAGACAUGGAUGGGAGAACUUUCAUUUGCUUUAAAAUGAAUGAUUGGGACCCCUACCCCCCUCUGUCUACUCAACUCUAAUAUAAACCCA
rnacentral:misc_RNA from 1 species